GGUCUUGAGGUGCAAUCGGUGCACGCUUGCCCCCUUCAGUGGGGGGAGAAGACGGUUCGAUUCCGUCCGUGACCU